GAGGAAUCAUUACCUCCUCUCUCUACUCUCUCUCCCUCUCUCCCCUCAAGCUCUUCCUUUCAUUUCUUUUUUCCACCUAUGGAGGAGGAUUAUUGGAGAUCGGUGAUGACUCUAUGAGUUUGUCAACAACGACGUGAGAUUGUCAAAGACGGCGCGAGAUUCCGACGCUUUCUUCCUCGAAUCGUACUCCAUAAGAAAGUCCAGCAAAUCCUAGAACGUGAUGGUAAAAACUAGAGCAGUGAAAGUGAUAGACAAAUCCGAGACAGUUCCUCUUCGUCGAAAUUAAAAUAAAAACAAAGAGAGCAUAAGAGUCAUGCCAAUCCGUAUGGGCUAAAUAUAUUAGGGAUAAUAUCCCUAAUUAGGAGUCUUAAUUUUAAGAGAAGAUAUAGAAGAAGUUUUCAAGUGAUGUAUAAUUACAUUAUUGAUUUAUAAAAUGUCUUAUUAUAUUUUA